AAGAGUGUACUUCAUGCCCCCUCAAUUCUGCUGCUGACAAGGUCAGAUUUCCCUUUUGGGUUGCAAAUUUCACUUCUCUUUUAUAAUCAAGGAAUGUUUGCUGUGUUGGUUGAGUCUGGGGACGUCUUUGCUUGUCCCACCUCUCUAUUUCUGGGAAGGGCGGACCGGGAGGGAUCACUUCCUGCUUGUGGUAACGGUACCAGGAACCACAAGCAGUUUUGUAUCUCUGCUUGUUAACACUGGGAACAGCAGUAAACUACCCAGAUUGAUCACUCACUGGCUGCAGUGUUUUUGGCAGCCGUGCUUUCUGCCUGCCAGGACGAAGAAGGCGGGAGGCGGGCCCUGGAGGAAUAACCCCCCUCUGAGAGGAAGAGUCUCUUUCUGCCUGGAGCCAAAGUGAACAUAGAUCCGCCCGUUGUUGGGGGCCCUGGGGACCCCCUUUCUACGACACCAAAGGUCCCCCGUGCUCAUGUGGGCUGUACGUGAUGCACCUGCCAUCGUCCGCACGUGAAGAAUUUACGGAUGGGAGGCUCCGGGCAAAACCUGGUCCGUGCCACACCUGCAGGCUUUAGGCAAGGAGUGGCUGCCGAUGGGAAGGAAGGUGAGUGUUCUUCGAGGUGUGGGGCCCGAUGAUUUCCCAGAUGGUCGGCAGAGUGAGAGGGACCUUCGGAUCGACGUUUGCUGAGCUGACCUUGCGGGUGAGCGUGGGCCUGGCUGUUUGUUUGGCAGGACCCGGUGAAUGCUUUGGCCAUGCUUUUACCCUGUUCAUUCAUUCUUUCACUCCAAAGACAAUCAAUGGAUGCUCACGCUGUGCCAAGAUGCGGAUCCACUCACUGAGAUUAGCAGUUCAGGAGGGCAGUACGUUCGAGAGGACGACCGGCAUCCGGCUCUGAGCAUGUUGAGUCUGAGGCAUCCUCACUCUUCCCCAUUCCCACGGCCGGAUCAGUACAAAAUCCUGUCCCUUCUGCAUCCUGAGUGUGUUGUAAACCCAUCCAGCUCUCUUCGCUCCCACUGCUAGUCAAAAGUUCAACCCAGCAGCAUCCUUUAUCUAUGGAUUGAAAAAAAUAGCGUGAAAGACCCAACUCCUCGCGUGAGCCUCAGCCCUCCUGGGAAGACCACCUCCCCUCCCGUGGGCCCAGCAGCAGCGACAACAGCGCGCGACAGCCCAGGGAGCUCUGUGCGGCCCCUGAUACAUUGUCAAAGACAUGGCCUUGUUUUUUCCUCCCAUUCCCGAGGGGUUUUUAAAGGUUUGUAUCGAGAUGCAGUUUACAUACCAUGAAACGGACUCGCUCAAGGAUUUUCGGGACGUUUACCGCGUGCUGCCGCCAUCGCCAUGAUCCAGUCUGAGAUCCAUCACCUCCAUCACAUCUCUCCCCUGCCCGUUGGUACCCAGUCCUCAUUACCACCCGAGCCCCUGGCGGCCACGGGUGAGCUUCCUGUCUCUGUGGGUUUCCCUGCCAUGGACAGUUCCCAUAGUGCUUUUUGGUGUUGUAUUUAAGAACGCUCGUAGUUCCUGAUGUGGCUGAGUGUGUUAAGAACACAACACUGUCUCUGUGAGGAUGUGGAUUCCAUCCCUGGCCUCACCCAGUGGGUUAAGGAUCUGGCGUUGCCGUGGCUGUGGUGUAGGUGAAAGAUGCAGCUUGGAUCUGGGGUUGCUGUGGCUGCGCUGUGGGCCUCAGCAGUAGUUCGGAUUCGUAGGAUUGGGUUCCAGGAUGCAACAUCUGAGCAUGGUCAUGUUCCUUAUAUAAAAUUGCAUAUAAUGCAGUUGGCUCCACAUCUGCUGAUACAGAACCUAUGAAUUCGACCAACUCUGGAUGGAAAAUCUUUGUAUCUCUUACAUUUAGGUCUCUGAUUCAUUUUGAGUAAAUCUUUGUGGAUGGUGUGAACUCAGGACCUAAAUUCAUCUUCUUGUAUGUGGGCUCCAAUUGUCCUCGCACCAUUUGUUGAAAAGACCAUCCUUUCCCCUAGUGAAUAUCCUUGACAUCUUUGUCAACAAUAAAUUGACCAGAAAUAUAAGUA